rnacentral:rRNA from 1 species
GACGAACGCUGGCGGCGUGCCUAAUACAUGCAAGUCGAACGCAGUGGGGACGGGUGAGUAACACGUGGGUAACCUCCCAUCAGAGGGGACAACACUUGGAAACAGGUGCUAAACCGAUACUGAUGGAUGGACCCGCGGUGCAUUAGCUAGUUGGUGAGGUACCGGCUCACCAAGGCCACGAUGCAUAGCCGACCGUAGAGGGUGAUGGGACAAAAUGGGAUUGAGACACGGCCCAGAGUCCGACGGGAGGCAGCAGUAGGGAAUGUUCGGGAAUGGCCGAAAGUCGGACCGAGCAAAGCAGUGUGAGUGAAGAAGGUUUUAGGAUCGUAAAACUCUGUUGUUAGGGAAGCGGUAUCUAACAAGAAAGCCACGGCGAACUACGUGACAGCCGCCGCGGUAAUAC